AAAUUUCUGAUCUAUUCGAUACUAACAACGAAUUUUUAGGCUUUACUCUAUUUUAAUGGGGUUAUCCCUUUAUAAAUUGUUUCAGGAAAAUCACGACGGCUCACGCUUUGUACGGAUUCUGUACAGUUUAUAAAUAUGACUACCACCUGUAACAUCCUACAGGCUACUAAAAAUUACGUUAGAACGGUAGAUCGGAUUUUUU
rnacentral:other from 1 species